rnacentral:rRNA from 1 species
CCUACGGGAGGCAGCAGUGGGGAAUAUUGGACAAUGGGCGCAAGCCUGAUCCAGCCAUGCCGCGUGUGUGAAGAAGGCCUUCGGGUUGUAAAGCACUUUUAUCCGGAAAGAAAAGCUUUGGGUUAAUACCCUGAAGUCAUGACGGUACCGGAAGAAUAAGCACCGGCUAACUUCGUGCCAGCAGCCGCGGUAAUACGAAGGGUGCAAGCGUUACUCGGAAUUACUGGGCGUAAAGCGUGCGUAGGUGGUUUGUUAAGUCUGAUGUGAAAGCCCUAGGCUCAACCUGGGAAUUGCAUUGGAUACUGGCAGGCUAGAGUGCGGUAGAGGAUAGUGGAAUUCCCGGUGUAGCAGUGAAAUGCGUAGAGAUCGGGAGGAACAUCUGUGGCGAAGGCGACUAUCUGGGCCAGCACUGACACUGAGGCACGAAGCGGUGGGGAGACAAACAGGAUUACGAUACCCGUGGUACGUCCCACGCCCUAAACGACUAGCGACGUAGGAGUGUUGGGUUGGCGAACGUAACGGACGACUCAGUA